GUCGAGCGGAUGAGUGGAGCUUGCUCCAUGAUUCAGCGGCGGACGGGUGANUAAUGCCUAGGAAUCUGCCUGGUAGUGGGGGAUAACGUUUCGAAAGGAACGCUAAUACCGCAUACGUCCUACGGGNGAAAGUGGGGGAUCUUCGGACCUCACGCUAUCAGAUGAGCCUAGGUCGGAUUAGCUAGUUGGUGGGGUAAUGGCCCACCAAGGCGACGAUCCGUAACUGGUCUGAGAGGAUGAUCAGUCACACUGGAACUGAGACACGGUCCAGACUCCUACGGGAGGCAGCAGUGGGGAAUAUUGGACAAUGGGCGAAAGCCUGAUCCAGCCAUGCCGCGUGUGUGAAGAAGGUCUUCGGAUUGUAAAGCACUUUAAGUUGGGAGGAAGGGCAGUAAGUUAAUACCUUGCUGUUUUGACGUUACCAACAGAAUAAGCACCGGCUAACUUCGUGCCAG
rnacentral:rRNA from 1 species